CAGCCGCCGCGGUAAUACGUAGGUGGCAAGCGUUGUCCGGAAUUACUGGGCGUAAAGGGCUCGCAGGGGGUUUCUUAAGUCUGAUGUGAAAGCCCCCGGCUCAACCGGGGAGGGUCAUUGGAAACUGGGAAACUUGAGUGCAGAAGAGGAGAGUGGAAUUCCACGUGUAGCGGUGAAAUGCGUAGAGAUGUGGAGGAACACCAGUGGCGAAGGCGACUCUCUGGUCUGUAACUGACGCUGAGGAGCGAAAGCGUGGGGAGCGAACAGGAUUAGAUACCCCAGUAGUCCCUGUCUCUUAUAC
rnacentral:rRNA from 1 species